rnacentral:rRNA from 1 species
UACGAAGGGGACUAGCGUUGUCCGGAAUCAUUGGGCGUAAAGAGCGCGUAGGCGGCCAGAUAAGUCCGGUGUGAAAGUCACAGGCUCAACCUGUGAAUGCCGCUGGAAACUGUCUGGCUAGAGUCCGGGAGGGGCGAGUGGAAUUCCUGGUGUAGCGGUGAAAUGCGCAGAUAUCAGGAGGAACACCAAUGGCGAAGGCAGCUCGCUGGAACGGAACUGACGCUGAGGCGCGAAAGCGUGGGGAGCGAACAGG